CUUCCUGCUAUGUUUCGGCGCGCUCCCAAAUCCGACGAGUUUGGGGUAGUUGGGGGCUGCUUUGGUUUUUUCCUCCUGUCUCCUUAAAGCUCAGUUACUUUAUUUUAAAAGUCCUGAUACGAUAGUCAUCCUGGAGGGUAAGUGUGGUUUAUGAAGAUUUUCGUGUUUAAAGAGAAGCUCAGCGAAGAGAAAUGAGAUUGCACUUCCUGUCGGUGCCCGCCACGUCCCUCGCGCCCUGAGCCUUUCCUCUCCCCGCCCCUCUUUUCGCGUCCCUCAGCCCCUUUUGAGCUCUCUUUUCCUCACUUUUCAGCAUCUCGAUUUCUUUUCCGUGGUGGUGGGAUUCUUUUUGUCGUUAUUGCAAAUGAACAAAUAGCCCCCCCCCCUUUUUUUUUCUUUUCUAAACGAAAGUAAAAAGUGGCCUCUGUGUCUCCGCAGAUUCUCUUAAACUCAGGACGCGCAUCGGUCUGUCCGACCUUCCCGGCAAGAGACAAAGUCACUGCUGGGAGGCCCCCUCGGACAGUUUUCAGUUUUAACUUUCGCCUUAUUCUCGUCUUGUCUUGAUGUCACGGCCCUGAGGAACAGCUCGUUCUGCAGAAGAGAUUCCCAGUCCCAAGACAUCAG
rnacentral:lncRNA from 1 species